AGCUGGAAACGGCUGCUAAUACCGCAUAAGCUUUUUGAGACGUAUGUUUUAGAAAGUAAAGGAGGCGCAAGCUUUCGCUUAUGGGAUGGGCCCGCGUCUGAUUAGGCGUAGUUGGUAGGGUAGAGGCCUACCAAGGCAACGAGUCAGUAGCCGGCCUCGAGAGGGUGGACGGCCACACUGGGACUGAGAACGGCCCAGACUCCUACGGGAGGCAGCAGUGGGGAAUAUUGCGCAAUGGGGGAAACCCUGACGCAGCGACGCCCGCGUGAGCGAAGAAGGCCUUCGGGUUGUAAAGCUCUGUUGUAAGGGACGAAUGUCUAGGGUAGUAACUGACCUUAGGAUGACGGUACCUUACCAGCAAGCCCCGGCUAACUACGUGCCAGCCGCCGC
rnacentral:rRNA from 1 species